CCCGGCUGCUCGGAGUUGGUCCUGCGGGUGGCAGGUGAGGACAGAACCAGGUAGCAGUGGCAGCAGCGCAAGCCACGGAAGCAGGCACAGAGGGAUUUCACCAAGCGAAGCAGGCAGCCUCUGAAACGGGAAGCAGCAGCAGCAGAUGACGGGAACGAUGGAUAUCCGGGACAGCCAGGAACGUGAAGAGGACCUGAAGGAACACGCAGAACGGCUCUUUUCAAGGCACCAGCAGGUGUUUGUCAAGAAUGGAGUUCCUAACCCAGGAUCUUCGCUCCCGUUCAGCUUUGAGCUGCAAUCUUUAA